rfam:Schistosoma mansoni, Puerto Rico, WGS project CABG01000000 data, contig: 0032
AUCCAGCUGACGAGUCCCAAAUAAGACGAAAUAUGCGUCCUGAAU